rnacentral:pre_miRNA from 1 species
AAAGCAAUUGCUGGGUCAUAUGGUAAGUUUAACUUCAUAAGAAAAUGCCAAAUGUUUUUUUGAGUGGCUGUACUGUUUUACAUUCCAACUGACAAU